rnacentral:tRNA from 1 species
GCCGGUGUGGCGGAAUUGGUAGACGCGCGCGAUUCAAAAUCGCGUUCCCCAGGGAGUGUGGGUUCGAGUCCCACCACCGGUA